GACGAACGCUGGCGGCGCGCCUAACACAUGCAAGUCGAACGAGCGAGAGAGAGCUUGCUUUCUCAAGCGAGUGGCGAACGGGUGAGUAACGCGUGAGGAACCUGCCUCAAAGAGGGGGACAACAGUUGGAAACGACUGCUAAUACCGCAUAAGCCCACAGGUCGGCAUCGACCAGAGGGAAAAGGAGCAAUCCGCUUUGAGAUGGCCUCGCGUCCGAUUAGCUAGUUGGUGAGGUAACGGCACACCAAGGCAACGACCGGUAGCCGGACUGAGAGGUUGAACGGACACCUUGGAACUGAGACACGGCCCAGACUCCUACGGGAGGAAGCAGUGGGGAAUACUGCAAAAUGGGGGAAACCCUGAUGCAGCGCCGCCGCGUGGAGGAAGAAGGUCUUCGGAUUGUAAACUCCUGUUGUUGAAGAAGAUAAUGACGGUACUCAACAAGGAAGUGACGGCUAACUACGUG
rnacentral:rRNA from 1 species